AGGUCAUGAUAUGGGCAAUGUCUUUGUAAGUCCUUGUAUCCCUCUCAUACUUCUUAUAGAGUUUCAUCAUCCCUUGUAGUAAAUAUGGUGAUGUCAUUUUUUAUCUU